UACGAAGGGUGCAAACGUUGCUCGGAAUUAUUGGGCGUAAAGCGCACGUAGGCGGCUCUACAAGUCUGAUGUGAAAUCCUGUGGCUUAACCAUAGAAGUGCAUCGGAAACUGCAGAGCUUGAGUACUUAAGAGGAUCGCGGAAUUCCCGGUGUAGAGGUGAAAUUCGUAGAUAUCGGGAGGAACACCAGUGGCGAAGGCGGCGAUCUGGGAAGAUACUGACGCUGAGGUGCGAAAGCGUGGGGAGCAAACAGG
rnacentral:rRNA from 1 species